AGUGCUACAGCAGCGGAUGUGAAGCAGGACAAGGGGAACGUCUACCCAGUGUCUGAGCCCUCCUUCACCCCAAACUUCCCACCACGGCCAUCCAGUCUGUGCUGACCUAUCCUUGGGAAUUCUCAGCACCCACACUUGUUGGAAGCUCAGCAUCCUCCAUGGCUGGAGCACUGCAAGCCCUGGGUGCAGGGCCUUGCUGGAGAUGGAGACCCCAUCCCUGAGAUGCAGAAGUGAUGCCCCUGCAGCAGCAUGUGAAGGAGCUCCGCACCAUGGUCAUGGGAGCUGAGAGCACUGCUGCAGCAGGAUGCUGAUGGGAGAUGUGACCCUUACCAGGAAACAGCAUUGUCUCUGCAGACACACCAUGGCCAACCAAGGACUUCUCCCAAGCAUAGGCCCCAAGACAUAGAGGAAGAGAAUGAGACUGGCUCCAACCCCAUCCCAGGGGACACCCCUAUGGCGAGGCCCAUGCGAGGAGCAGUUUGGGGGCUGGAAGCUGCCGGCAGCUGGUUCCUAUAUUCAAGCCUUUGUACACACACACACACACAUAGAGUAAAAUCAAGCCAUGGGAUGGGGAUGGGGCUCGAUGGUGGGGGGGCUCUGGUGAGCACUCAGAGGAGGUAGGACCUGCCAAUGCUCAGAGCUGCUGCUGUUUGCACACCUUUGGAGGGGGUGAUGUGAAGUUGGAUGGAGUCUCCUUGGACUGGGGAGUAUCUCACUGGGCAGAGCAUUGCUGGGCUUGGAAAGGACUGACAGUGGGAGAGCAAGCGGAAAUGCAGGCAUAGGGAAGGGAAGCAACGCACUGAAGGUCAUCCCUGGGCCAGCAGCAGAACCAGGAAUAAAAUCCAGGUGUGCUGAGCUGGUCCUGGGGUUGUAUCCACACAUGUGCUCGUAUUAACACUGCUGUCCCUGGGCAAGAGCCACUAAUGGUAGAAGUAGUUUCCUAAAGCCAUCAGUACCUUCCGGAGCCAUGCCACAGGCUGCAGGACUGGUUUGCAUCUUAAACAAAGAGAGGUCUGGAUAUUUGGGGUCUCCUUUCCCUCCCAGCAUCUUCCAAGCCCUGCUGGGUAGAUAAGGAAUGCUGUUGGAUGCUGGCUGAUAAGGCAGAGUGGUUAAAAACACUGCCUUUAUUUGGAAGCUUAUCUCCAAAUCCUAAUGAAAACAGACACAGAGGGAAGCCGGGGACAACAGAGAGGGAAGACUCACACCCCAGCACUGCAGGGACUGGGAUGGGUGAUGCUGAGCAAUGGGAUCUGGUCAGGUUUGGAGUCUGAGUGGCUGCUGCAUAUGGUGAGGGUGAGAUUUAAAAGCUUUGGGGCAAACCCAAGGAUCCAGGGCAAGACCAUUGGGUCCCAAGAGCCUGCAGGGGCAGCUGUGGUCCCCUCUGAGCACCCCGAAUUGGGCAUCCUCCCUCGUUUGUUUGUUUUCCUUUAGUGAGGGGCUCGCUGAGGAAGAAAAACCUUGAAACCAAGGAAACAAGGGAGACAAAAAGGAGAAUGUCGGCUCCUGCAAGGCAGAGCGAGCUGGCUCCAGCACCCUGGGGUGAGGGUGGGUGCUGCCCCUGCUGCCCUGAGCCCCCCUCUGUGGCUGGGGGCAAGAAGGUGACAAGGGUGAGAUGCACUAAGGUGAAAGGAAGGUUCUUGUGCAGGAAGGGAACCCUGAAGGGUUCUGAGCUGCUCAGGAGGAGCUGCUUUGGUGCAAGGCAGAUGGUGGAGGAGGUGAGCAGAGGUUUUAGGGGAUGCUGUGAGGCAGGGAGCAGCUAUGGCAGGCUCCACAAUCCCACAAAAACCUGGACUUUCCAGACCCCAAAAUAGCAUUCCCAGACCCAAACUUACGGGGUAGUGGGACUGGGAAGACGGGGGAUGAGAGGUGUGUGUGUGGGGGGAUGAAGUCGUGGCUGUGCCAAGCCCCAUAAAUCACAGCGGUGCGGAGCAAAGCUCCAUCGAAGGAAAUUCUUCCUUGCCAGACUGGGAUAUUUCCCCUCAACAGCCUCAGUUUUCCCCAUCAAGCCGUAGAGAAGUGGGAUCUUGACUACAGCAAGUGCAAAACCUGACCGGGGAGCCUGGUGUCACGCAGGAGGGGUUCAGUGCCCUGCAGCCCACAGUGAUGGGGCUGCUCCAGAGCAGUGCGAAGGGCUCCGGGAUGCGCACCACCAUCACCCCAGCAUCCGUGGCCAUCCAUGCAGGCCCGGCUCGGCGGUGCUGGGGCAGUGUAAGCUGAUAUUUCCCUGCGCGUCCCCCCGAGGGUUUUUUCCAUUACAGCGGCAGAGCGGAGCCGCCGCUCUCCGGCUCCCCCGCCUGCAACCUCUGGCUCCGCUUUUCCAGCGGCACAUUGUGCAAAUGUAACCUUUCAGCGAGCCGCUCCUACGGCAGGAAGCCGGGGGGCUCCGCUCCUGCCAGGAACGCAGCCGGCGCGGAGCUGGAAGGCAGCCCGUUAAUCAGAGCCGGCUGACAGCGAAGCACACAUCCUGGGCAACACAUUCCUGCUCCCUCUCCAUCGCCUUCCCUCUCCAUCGCGCUGCAGCGGCGCGCUCCUGCCCUUCAUCCCGCCCGCUUCCACAGCCUCAUCCUCCUCCUGACCGCUGGGAUCGUGCCCCUCCGCUCAACGUGCCAAGCGGGAGGUGCCCUCGCUGCUCGGUGUGAAGCCAGUUGGGGACCAAGAGAACGGGAUUGGUUGGGUAGAGCAAUGGCAACCAUGCCAAGACAUGGACUGAGGCAUCGUGCCCAUUGACCGCUGGGAUGCUCAGGGAUGCUGUGCUGGCACAUAGGACACAUGUGUGGUCGUGGUGCUCCCCAGGACAUUGAACAGGGUCCCCCAUAGAUUCAUAGAAUAGUUAGGGUUGGAAAGGACCUUAAGAUCAUCUAGUUCCAACCACCCUGCCCAGGGGCUCCCUAUGACACUGUGGUUAGGGCUAUGCCCCACACCAUUGGGUCACCAUCAUGUUCCUCUUGCCUUGAGCAUGGUGGCAGCACUUCGAGGCAUCACUGUGCCAACCUUCUGCCUGCUGUAGAAUCCAAAUGGGAGCUUUUAUCUCCCCCCGGGCAGCAAAGAUCUCAGAGGGGGCUUCUCCUGCAUUUGUGCCCAGCUUUGGGCCCACCAGCACAUCCACACCAGUGGUGGGAGCUGCUGCCCCUCGGGAAGGGUUUAUCCCUGGCUCAUGUCCUUGGGGCCACAGCAGCUCCUCGCAGCACACUAGGGCUCAGUGUGUAGAGCUUGGCAGCUUCUCUCUGGGCUGAGUCAGAGCUCAAAAGACCCAAGGGCUGCAUCCCCAGUGGAUGCAUUGGCCAAGGCCGUUGGUGGUGCCAGCUUGGGUGCUGUUCUCCAGGUGCCAAACACACUCUGGUGCACAGGUAAAGCCCAGUGAGGAGAAUAGGGUUGAAGAAACCCAGUCGUUGCUUUAACCCAUGCAACAGGCUCCCUUUGGUGCCGGAGGAGUGCAGGGCAGCACUGGUGUCCAGCACCGCUGCACUCUUGCUUUGGGCUUGCCAGGAGUGAAAGGCCACUGAAAAUGGUCCCAUCCAGUUCGGUUCCACCCCAACCCCUCCCACCCCACAGGACCAAGUGCUGAGGCUUUUUCUCCCCAGCAAAGUCCUCUUGGGAGCACCAGGGAUCCCUGCAGGAAGGUGCUGUGACUUUGGGGCAGGAUUUAUCCCCCUUCUAAUUGCAAAUGGAUAAACAUCAGCCAUCUAAGCAAGGAGGGGGGUUCUGUGCUCACAGGCAUGGCCGAGCAAAGAUGCAGGGGGCACUUCAUCCACCCCUGGGAUGGGUUUUGGCUGAGGAUGAGGGGUUUGAUUUCUGGAGCUGCGGAGCCUAUUGAUGGGUGCAAGGACCCUUCCAACCACCCUCAGGCUCAUCCCCAGCUCGGCUGAUGGGGCUGGUGCUGCAAACCCUGCCUGUGUUUCUCAUGUCUGAUUUCUCCCCAGGUUCGAAGCACUCGAUGUGCAGCAUUGUAGCAUCUGUUUUUGUGGUAUUUCCAGCCCAGCUGGAAGCAGGAGGCACUUGAAAUUCAGAGAUGGGGGAAAAAAAUAACAGAUCUGGUGAGAUUCUGUCUUCCUGCCAAAUUCACCAAACCCGGGAUGCGGGGAGAGCCCUGCCGCAGGCGCAGCAUCCAACGCUUCCCCUCUUCCUUGCUUCCUGCUCAUCCCAAACCAUCCUCUCAUUCCCAACUCACUUUCAGGACGCUGCACAAAGCCUGACCCUGCUGCUGGAGCCGGGGACGGGCAGAUAAUGCAGUCACUGGAUUUAUUUCACCUUUUCCUCUGGUUGUGGAUUGUCCAGGAGCAGAUGGUGAUUUUCUCAAGUGGAUCCGUUAUUCGAAGUCACUCACUGAGACUGCGAUGGCUCAAACAAAUCCAGGCCCCCUGCAAAGCCAUCAUUUGGUCUUCCCAUCUGCCCAGCCGCCGCUGCCGGCGUGGGCUCGGCUUCCGCCAGCGUGCCGGAGGGAAGUGGGAAGCAGGAGAGCCUCUGGAUGGGGUCAGUGCAGUGCCUACCCCUUCAUCCCUAAGCAGAGCCCAUGGAGUGCAAAGCUCUGCUCUGUCAGGGGUUGGGAGCCACAUCCCAGCUUUGUUGAGGGGGUUCGGGGGCAGUGCUGGCUUGUUCACACAGCGCCUGCCUGUGCCAGUGCUGGGGUGAGGGAGCUCACUGGGAUUGUGCCCAGGGACAAACUGGGAAGCUGCUUCUCAUGAGAAGAUACCAGGGGCUGUUUCUGCUGCACCUCCCUGCCUGGUGGGGGGGAAAUGGGUACUUCAGGGCUGUGAAACACCAAAACAGCCCCGGGAGCCCUCAUGUGGUCCUGGGGGCCCACAGGCUGGUGUCAGAGGCAGGGCUGGAGGUACCCAGGGUUUGUCCAUGCAGGGAUGUGCCCAGCUUUGGGUGAUGGACUUGAGAAAGGGACCUGCAGAAGCAGCCUGGGUCAGAGCCCUCCCAGUGCUGGUGGCACCUGGGUGGGAAGCCUGGACAGGUCCAUGAGGGAUGGGCUUUGCCUGGCAGGCUUCUGCCAACCUCUUUUGGUGCCUCUGAGGGGACCUGUGUGCCCACAGCUCUGCUCCAGGAAGGGGCCAGGAGCAGGUUUUGAUCCAGCACCAGGAUAACAUCCUCCCUUAGAACAUCAACCCAGUGUAAGUGUGAGGAUGGAGAGGGAUGGGGAGGAACACGUGGGUUCCCAAGCUCACUCAGCCCAGCAGUCAGGCCCUGGAGCUGGGGCAUCCUCAGCUUAACCCACCCAGAGACAGGCUGAGCUGGGGGGAACACUCCCACAGGGAUCUGCUCCCUCCUCUAGGCUGGAUUUGCCUUUUCUUAACUUCCCAUCUCCUCUUUUUCCCUCCCGGAGGGGACCCAGGGCUAUGAGGCCACACUGAGGGCACUGGGGGGCUACAAAGGCUUCACUUUGAAAUGCAGUUUCCUUUCCUCUCUCCACCUCCCAUGGGCUAAACAAAUACCCCCCAGCUGGGAGAUGCCUCCUACAUCCCACAGGCUUUUGUUCCCAGGCUUUUGUCCAGGCCUGGGGAAGGGGCCAGGACCCCCGUUCUCACCAGGGACACCCAUCUUUGGGGUCCUGGGGUGCUGAUGGGGAAGCAGGAGGUAAGAGCUGGCUGUGCCCCUGGCCACUUCAAUUGCACCCCAUGGAGGGCUCAUUUCAGGUUGUUGUUUUGGGGGGUAAAAAGUCGGUGGAUAAAACCCCUAUAAAGGCUCCAACAACCCGAAUGUGACCAAAGAUCAGUGCCAGCCUCAAACCUCCAUCACUGCCAGUGAAUCCCUUGCUCUGUGCAAAGGGAACACCUCAAUUAAAUCAAAGGUGAGGCUCCAAAUGAACCCACUGGAAACCAAACCCCAGCUUUACCAUGGAGCAAAGCAUCUCUCUGGUGUUGUUUGGAGGAUAAUAGGGUUGUUUGAAAUGUCCCUGUUCCUGCAUCACAACAAGGAAAUAAAUACCUUUCUUACUGUG